rnacentral:rRNA from 1 species
UACGUAGGUGGCAAGCGUUGUCCGGAUUUACUGGGCGUAAAGAGCGCGCAGGCGGCUGGCCAAGUCCGAUGUGAAAUCUCCCGGCUUAACUGGGAAACUGCAUCGGAAACUGACCGGCUUGAAGGUGGGAGAGGGUAGUGGAAUUCCCGGUGUAGUGGUGAAAUGCGUAGAUAUCAGGAGGAACACCUAUUGCGAAGGCAGCUCGCUGGGACGUUACUGACGCUGAGACGCGAAAGCGUGGGGAGCAAACAGG